rnacentral:rRNA from 1 species
UACGAGGGGGGCGAGCGUUGUUCGGAAUUACUGGGCGUAAAGCGUGCGCAGGCGGUUAUGUAAGACAGAUGUGAAAUGCCCGGGCUUAACCUGGGAACUGCAUUUGUGACUGCAUGGCUAGAGUGUGUCAGAGGGGGGUAGAAUUCCACGUGUAGCAGUGAAAUGCGUAGAUAUGUGGAGGAAUACCGAUGGCGAAGGCAGCCCCCUGGGAUAACACUGACGCUCAUGCACGAAAGCGUGGGGAGCAAACAGG